CCUACGGGUGGCAGCAGUGGGGAAUAUUGCACAAUGGGCGCAAGCCUGAUGCAGCGAAGUCGCGUGCGGGAAGGAUGCCUUCGGGUUGUAAACCGCUUUUGUUCAAGGGCAAGGCACGGUCUUUGGCCGUGUUGAGUGGAUUGUUCGAAUCAGCACCGGCGAACUACGUGCCAGCAGACGCGGUAAUACGUUGGGGGUAAGCGUUAUCCGGGUGUAUUGGGCGUAAAGGGGUCGUAGGCGGUUCGUCGCGACCGGUGGGAAAGUCCAUGGCUUAACGGUGGAUCCGCUCCGGGGACGGGCGGGCUUGAGUACGGUAGGGGAGACUGGAAUUCCCGGUGGAGCGGUGGAAUGUGUAGAUAUGGGGAAGAACACCGAUGGCGAAGGCAGGUCUCUGGUCCGUGACUGACGCUGAGGAGCGAGAGCGUGGGGAGCGAACAGGAUUAGAUACCCUGGUAGUC
rnacentral:rRNA from 1 species